AUGGUGGUCCUCGACACGUGGCAGUACGGGUGGCACCGCCUGAUGCACAGCAGCGGCCUGCUGUACCGCCAUGUCCACUCCUGGCACCACCGGCUGGUGGCGCCGUACGCCUACGGCGCCCAGUACAACCACCCGCUGGAGGGCCUCGUACUGGACACGGCCGGCGGCGCGCUGGCGCUGGCCGUGACGGGGAUGGCGCCCCUGACGGCCGCCGCCUUCUUCUCGUUCGCGACUCUCAAGGCCGUCGACGACCACUCCGGCGUGCUUGUCCCGGGCAACCCGCUGCAUCUCCUGUUCCGCAACAACACGGCCUACCACGACGUCCACCACCAGAUUCGUGGUGGCCGCUGCAACUACGCGCAGCUGUUCUUCGUGGCGUGGGACAAGCUGAUGGGCACGUACGUCCCUUACGAGGUCGUCAGAGCUCCGCGCGGCGGACUGGAGGCCGUGCCGUUGAAGAAGAAGAAGACCUGA
rnacentral:rRNA from 1 species